GCCAAAGGAAGGACAGAAACAGUUAAGACAGUGCCGGCUGCAUUUCAAGUGGACAUCCCAACAAGGAGUAUUUGUCUGUGGAAGAAAGGAGGAAGGGAAUUAUCCUCUUAGAUGACAGAAAGCAGCAUUUGGAUAAGUGUCCCCUUCACAAAAUCAACAACUACGGAAAGCAUCUAGAACCUCCCCUUUUUCCCCCAUAUGGAUUAACCAUGUCGUGUGAAGCUGCUGGAUUGAAUACCUGGAAACAGUAAGACACACAGGCAAAAGUGAAAAGGCUUUUCUGACAAG